GUGGGGAAUAUUGGACAAUGGGGGGAACCCUGAUCCAGCCAUGCCGCGUGUGUGAAGAAGGCCUUUUGGUUGUAAAGCACUUUAAGCGAGGAGGAGGCUACCGAGAUUAAUACUCUUGGAUAGUGGACGUUACUCGCAGAAUAAGCACCGGCUAACUCUGUGCCAGCAGCCGCGGUAAUACAGAGGGUGCGAGCGUUAAUCGGAUUUACUGGGCGUAAAGCGUGCGUAGGCGGCUUUUUAAGUCGGAUGUGAAAUCCCCGAGCUUAACUUGGGAAUUGCAUUCGAUACUGGGAAGCUAGAGUAUGAGAGAGGAUGGUAGAAUUCCAGGUGUAGCGGUGAAAUGCGUAGAGAUCUGGAGGAAUACCGAUGGCGAAGGCAGCCAUCUGGCCUAAUACUGACGCUGAGGUACGAAAGCAUGGGGAGCAAACAGGAUUAGAUACCCGAGUAGUCC
rnacentral:rRNA from 1 species